AAAAAAUUAACCAAAAAAAAAAAACUCUUUGGCCUUCUGCUGCUUCUUUUGAACCGCUUUUGGAGCAAAGUAGCCAAGUUAGUUCAGAGUCAUAGUAUUCAUUCAAUGAUCAGCUAAUUCUGAUUCAAAAAGGAUUCUUUUUUUAUUUACCCAUCUGAAGCUUUGGAAAGUCCGCUUGGUCAAGAGUAUGUCCUGUUAUAAAUAGUUUGUAUGUUAAAUAGUAUAGAGAGAAAGAAUUCCUAU
rnacentral:misc_RNA from 1 species